GGUUAAGCGACUAAGCGUACACGGUGGAUGCCCUGGCAGUCAGAGGCGAUGAAGGACGUGCUAAUCUGCGAUAAGCGUCGGUAAGGUGAUAUGAACCGUUAUAACCGGCGAUUUCCGAAUGGGGAAACCCAGUGUGAUUCGUCACACUAUCAUUAACUGAAUCCAUAGGUUAAUGAGGCGAACCGGGGGAACUGAAACAUCUAAGUACCCCGAGGAAAAGAAAUCAACCGAGAUUCCCCCAGUAGCGGCGAGCGAACGGGGAGCAGCCCAGAGCCUGAAUCAGUGUGUGUGUUAGUGGAAGCGUCUGGAAAGGCGCGCGAUACAGGGUGACAGCCCCGUACACAAAAAUGCAUAUACUGUGAGCUCGAUGAGUAGGGCGGGACACGUGGUAUCCUGUCUGAAUAUGGGGGGACCAUCCUCCAAGGCUAAAUACUCCUGACUGACCGAUAGUGAACCAGUACCGUGAGGGAAAGGCGAAAAGAACCCCGGCGAGGGGAGUGAAAAAGAACCUGAAACCGUGUACGUACAAGCAGUGGGAGCCUCUUUUAUGGGGUGACUGCGUACCUUUUGUAUAAUGGGUCAGCGACUUAUAUUCUGUAGCAAGGUUAACCGAAUAGGGGAGCCGAAGGGAAACCGAGUCUUAACUGGGCGUUAAGUUGCAGGGUAUAGACCCGAAACGGUGAUCUAGCCAUGGGCAGGUUGAAGAAGGUUAGGUAACACUAACUGGAGGACCGAACCGACUAAUGUUGAAAAAAUUAGCCCCGGAUGACUUGUGGCUGGGGGUGAAAGGCCAAUCAAACCGGGAGAUAGCUGGUUCUCCCCGAAAGCUAUUUGGAAGUGCUUCUCGUGAAUUCAUCUCAGGGUAGAGCACUGUUUCGGCAAGGGGGUCAUCCCGACUUACCAACCCGAUGCAAACUGCGAAUACCGGAGAAUGUUAUCACGGGAGACACACGGCGGGUGCUAACGUCCGUCGUGAAGAGGGAAACAACCCAGACCGCCAGCUAAGGUCCCAAAGUCAUGGUUAAGUGGGAAACGAUGUGGGAAGGCCCAGACAGCCAGGAUGUUGGCUUAGAAGCAGCCAUCAUUUAAAGAAAGCGUAAUAGCUCACUGGUCGAGUCGGCCUGCGCGGAAGAUGUAACGGGGCUAAACCAUGCACCGAAGCUGCGGCAGCGACGCUUAUGCGUUGUUGGGUAGGGGAGCGUUCUGUAAGCCUGUGAAGGUGUGCUGUGAGGCAUGCUGGAGGUAUCAGAAGUGCGAAUGCUGACAUAAGUAACGAUAAAGCGGGUGAAAAGCCCGCUCGCCGGAAGACCAAGGGUUCCUGUCCAACGUUAAUCGGGGCAGGGUGAGUCGACCCCUAAGGCGAGGCCGAAAGGCGUAGUCGAUGGGAAACAGGUUAAUAUUCCUGUACUUGGUGUUACUGCGAAGGGGGGACGGAGAAGGCUAUGUUGGCCGGGCGACGGUUGUCCCGGUUUAAGCGUGUAGGCUGGUUUUCCAGGCAAAUCCGGAAAAUCAAGGCUGAGGCGUGAUGACGAGGCACUACGGUGCUGAAGCAACAAAUGCCCUGCUUCCAGGAAAAGCCUCUAAGCAUCAGGUAACAUCAAAUCGUACCCCAAACCGACACAGGUGGUCAGGUAGAGAAUACCAAGGCGCUUGAGAGAACUCGGGUGAAGGAACUAGGCAAAAUGGUGCCGUAACUUCGGGAGAAGGCACGCUGAUAUGUAGGUGAAGUCCCUUGCGGAUGGAGCUGAAAUCAGUCGAAGAUACCAGCUGGCUGCAACUGUUUAUUAAAAACACAGCACUGUGCAAACACGAAAGUGGACGUAUACGGUGUGACGCCUGCCCGGUGCCGGAAGGUUAAUUGAUGGGGUUAGCGGUAACGCGAAGCUCUUGAUCGAAGCCCCGGUAAACGGCGGCCGUAACUAUAACGGUCCUAAGGUAGCGAAAUUCCUUGUCGGGUAAGUUCCGACCUGCACGAAUGGCGUAAUGAUGGCCAGGCUGUCUCCACCCGAGACUCAGUGAAAUUGAACUCGCUGUGAAGAUGCAGUGUACCCGCGGCAAGACGAAAGACCCCGUGAACCUUUACUAUAGCUUGACACUGAACAUUGAGCCUUGAUGUGUAGGAUAGGUGGGAGGCUUUGAAGUGUGGACGCCAGUCUGCAUGGAGCCGACCUUGAAAUACCACCCUUUAAUGUUUGAUGUUCUAACGUUGGCCCCUGAUCGGGGUUGCGGACAGUGUCUGGUGGGUAGUUUGACUGGGGCGGUCUCCUCCUAAAGAGUAACGGAGGAGCACGAAGGUUGGCUAAUCCUGGUCGGACAUCAGGAGGUUAGUGCAAUGGCAUAAGCCAGCUUGACUGCGAGCGUGACGGCGCGAGCAGGUGCGAAAGCAGGUCAUAGUGAUCCGGUGGUUCUGAAUGGAAGGGCCAUCGCUCAACGGAUAAAAGGUACUCUGGGGAUAACAGGCUGAUACCGCCCAAGAGUUCAUAUCGACGGCGGUGUUUGGCACCUCGAUGUCGGCUCAUCACAUCCUGGGGCUGAAGUAGGUCCCAAGGGUAUGGCUGUUCGCCAUUUAAAGUGGUACGCGAGCUGGGUUUAGAACGUCGUGAGACAGUUCGGUCCCUAUCUGCCGUGGGCGCUGGAGAGCUGAGGGGGGCUGCUCCUAGUACGAGAGGACCGGAGUGGACGCAUCACUGGUGUUCGGGUUGUCAUGCCAAUGGCACUGCCCGGUAGCUAAAUGCGGAAGAGAUAAGUGCUGAAAGCAUCUAAGCACGAAACUUGCCCCGAGAUGAGUUCUCCCUGACUCCUUGAGAGUCCUGAAGGAACGUUGAAGACGACGACGUUGAUAGGCCGGGUGUGUAAGCGCAGCGAUGCGUUGAGCUAACCGGUACUAAUGAACCGUGAGGCUUAGCCUU
rnacentral:rRNA from 1 species